AUCUUUCCGCUUGGGGCAAUGACGCAGCUCAUGAGGUUAUAACAGAGGCGCGUCUAUUACCGGUUGAAAACUAUUUCCAAACCCCCUCUUAGACCUGGGCUUGCCCCCGGCCUUCGAGAAUUUCUGGAAGGGCUCCCUUUGGGGUAAAGCC